GCGCGGCGCAGAGUCGCUGUAAUGAAUGCUCGGGAAGUUAUGGAGAGAAAGCAUAGGGUAAGAUCACAGUGAUUAAUGCCAAAGCCCUGUUGCCUGGGGAGAGGGUGAUGCUUGACUUUAUUGUAAACCUGCAGUUUGUGUGGUGAAGGUGCUCCCACAAUGUGGUUGGGUCAUCAGGAUCUCAAAACAAUUGACAUUCAACUGUGGAAGGAGAAAGGUGUGUCUGUUCUGUCUGUGGUAAAGUAUCUUUUUAUUCGAACAAAAAGCAGAAAGGUAUUCAAAUUUGUGGUUGCAUCACCCUUUGGAUUUGUGCUCUGCUCUGGGCCCUGCAACUGUGGAAGGAGAUAUUGCCCUGCGAGGGAGCACAGAUGUAUCCAAAUUACACCUCGUCUCUUUUUAGGAACUGUCAGAUUCAGUCACAAUCAUCCAUGAUUCAUGAUGUUAACCUGUAAACUUGUUAUUUUCAAU